rnacentral:rRNA from 1 species
UACGGAGGGUGCAAGCGUUAUCCGGAUUCAUUGGGUUUAAAGGGUGCGUAGGCGGGUUUCUAAGUCAGUGGUGAAAACCUACAGCUUAACUGUAGAACUGCCAUUGAUACUGGAAGCCUUGAAUACGGUUGAGGUAGGCGGAAUGUGUAAUGUAGCGGUGAAAUGCUUAGAUAUUACACAGAACACCGAUUGCGAAGGCAGCUUACUAAGCCGUAAUUGACGCUGAGGCACGAAAGCGUGGGGAGCAAACAGGAUUAGAACCGGUACC